GAUGAACGCUGGCGGCGUGCCUAAUACAUGCAAGUCGAGCGAACAGACGAGGAGCUUGCUCCUCUGACGUUAGCGGCGGACGGGUGAGUAACACGUGGAUAACCUACCUAAAGACUGGGAUAACUUCGGGAAACCGGAGCUAAUACCGGAUAAUAUAUUGAACCGCAUGGUUCAAUAGUGAAAGACGGUUUUGCUGUCACUUAUAGAUGGAUCCGCGCCGCAUUAGCUAGUUGGUAAGGUAACGGCUUACCAAGGCGACGAUGCGUAGCCGACCUGAGAGGGUGAUCGGCCACACUGGAACUGAGACACGGUCCAGACUCCUACGGGAGGCAGCAGUAGGGAAUCUUCCGCAAUGGGCGAAAGCCUGACGGAGCAACGCCGCGUGAGUGAUGAAGGUCUUCGGAUCGUAAAACUCUGUUAUUAGGGAAGAACAAAUGUGUAAGUAACUAUGCACGUCUUGACGGUACCUAAUCAGAAAGCCACGGCUAACUACGUG
rnacentral:rRNA from 1 species